rnacentral:rRNA from 1 species
AGCAGCCGCGGUAAUUCCAGCUCCAAUAGCGUAUAUUAAAGUUGUUGCAGUUAAAAAGCUCGUAGUUGAAUUUCGGGAUCAAUAUGCCGGUCAUGCCUUGGUAUGCACUGGUAUCUUUGAUUUCUCCCUUCUGACGAACUUUGAUGUCAUUAAUUUGGUGUCAUAGGGAAUCAGGACUGUUACUUUGAAAAAUUAGAGUGUUUAAAGCAGGCUCACGCUUGAAUACAUUAGCAUGGAAUAAUGAAAUAGGACGUUUGAUUCUAUUUUGUUGGUUUCUAGGAUCGACGUAAUGAUUAAUAGGGAUAGUUGGGGCAUUAGUAUUCAAUUGUCAGAGGUGAAAUUCUUGGAUUUAUUGAAG